CCCUUAGAUGUUCUGGGCCGCACGCGCGCUACACUGACGAUGUCAGAGAGUGUCUCCUUCACCGAGAGGUGUGGGUAAUCUUUUAAACAUCGUCGUGCUGGGGAUAGAUCAUUGCAAUUUUUGAUCUUAAACGAGGAAUGCCUAGUAGGCGCAAGUCAUCAGCUUGCGUCGAUUACGUCCCUGCCCUUUGUACACACUGCCCGUCGCUCCUACCGAUUGGGUGUGCUGGUGAAAUGUUCGGAUCGGCCGUUUGUCGCGGUUUCCGCGUCAUGUGGCUGAGAAGUUCAUUAAACCCUCCCACCUAGAGGAAGGAGAAGUCGUAACA
rnacentral:rRNA from 1 species